AAUAAAAAUUAACUCCAGUUAACACAUUGAAAAAUAAUAACAAUAAUAAUAAAAUCUAGGUUUUCCAAAUCAAUCCCUCUCGCUCUCGCCACUCGAUUUUCCUUCCCUCCAAACGCUGUUCCUUCUGUUCUUUCUUUUUCAUUUUUUUUUUCCGGGAAAGUUGGCGGAAGUUUUACAGGUAUUCAUGUUUGGUGAUCUUUAAACUGUGUCGUUUCUCCGGGAAGUUCAUUUUCCCGGGAGAAUUUCACAUCCGAAUUCGUCUCUUCGCGCUUGUUCUCUGAAUCAGGUUUUUCACUGGUCUUUUGCGUGUGAUUAACUGAUAUCAGAGGAAAAGUAGCUGCUAAUUUGAUUUGAUUGUCAUUAAAAGAUCUGUAAAUCAAGGAGGGAGAUAAUUUCAGAGCUCUAAAGAUAGAGACUGUUCUUUUACACGUUGAUUUUAGAUUGUUGAUUUUGUUGUGUAGUAGUGACACUUAUGCAUUGAUCUUCCAUCGUCUUAAAUUUUAAUGCUAAUUGCUUUAUGGAUUUGGAAGUACUUCCACCUACCUCUUCACCUUCACGGUCAAGGGCUUUGGUGAAAUGUUGCAAUUGUGCCUGUAGUUGCUCUUUAGUAGCUUCUUCUUCCUCAGUUUCUUGGUUCCGAUCUGUGAAACGAAAAUAUGAUGACUUUGAGGGAAAUCGGUUUUUUAUACCUGGAUUUGAUCUCUUCUCAAAUCCGCGUGUGGAAAUUGAGAAUGAAUGUGCUGCACUACGUGAAACAGUUGGUGGCCAACAGCAGGCAAUACAGGAUUUAUAUGCUGAACUGGAAGAGGAGAGAAAUGCCUCUUCAACAGCUGCAAAUGAGGCAAUGUCAAUGAUACUGAGGUUGCAGAGGGAGAAGGCAGAGAUCCAAAUGGAAGCAAAGCAAUUCAAGCGUUUUGCAGAGGAGAAGAUGGCACAUGACCAACAGGAGCUUUUGGCUUUUGAGGAUGUAUUAUAUAAGAGAGAUCAGGCCAUUCAAUCACUCACUUGUGAGAUGCAGGCUUAUAAACAUAGGAUGAUGAGUUUUGGGCUUACUGAAGCCGAGGCAGAGGGGGAGAAGGGUGAUAAAAGUGGGGUUAGCCGCAACACUAGUAUGGCUGGAAAUUCGGAUGCUGCCCAAUAUGAAUUUCCAGCAUUUGAUUAUCCACCCUUGAAAUGCCAUUUGAAUGAGAACCCUAUCGUUUUGGAGAGCAAUGAUGACAUUGUGGACAUUGAGAAAUAUGCUUUUGGUGAGACUCCUCAUGCUCGGGAUCGUUUGAAGAAUUUGGAAUACAGGAUCAAUCAGAUGGAGCAAAGUCCUAGUAGCAGUCAAUUAGAUGGGGAAUCUUCUGUCUCGAAGAAUAUCCUAGAGAAGGUGAUAGUUGGCCAUUCUCCUAGGCGGCCAAGAGACAGGAUUUUUUCUGUGGAUGGUUCAAGUUCAUUCACAGGAAGGUCAAGAGAAACAGUUCCAGAUCUUGCAAGUGAAUCUCCUAGAUUCAAGUUCACCAAUAGCUUUAAGAAGAUGGAUUAUGUUUCGCAAUCAGAAGAUUCCUCAAAUUUGAGAAAGGUGGAUAAUGCAUCAGAUUUUGGAGAUGACAUGAGUGACAGAGUUUACACCAUUGAUUCUGUCCACAGUGGGGUACCAUAUAAUAGUGUUGCAGAACCAAAAGCUGGUGCCGGGAUUUAUGAAGAUUAUAUUUCAACUCCAAGGGAUACAUUAAACCGGCCUGAUGUUAGCGAUCCUGAUAUAAAAAAGCUGUAUAUGAGGCUUCAGGCACUUGAGGCUGACAGGGAAUCUAUGAGGCAGGCUAUUAUUUCAAUGCGCACUGAUAAAGCGCAGAUGGUGCUGUUGAAAGAAAUAGCCCAACAUUUGUGCAAGGAAAUGUCACCAGAAAGGCGAAUGCCAGUUAGGAAGCCAUCUCUUCUUGGAACCUUUUCCUUCUUGUCCAUUUUCAAGUGGAUCGUGCCCUUCGUUUUCUGGAGAAAUAAAGCUCGUCGAAGCAGGUUUAUGUGUGGGCUUUCCGCAAGCAAUGUUGGUCUGCUACUGCUUCUGGAUAAAGGGCCUCGUACAAGGCAAUGGAGAUGUCUUACAAGUACACAAGUCUGAAAAUCCCUAGUCAAACUUCCAUAUCCAUGGGAUGCUGAUGUUGGUAUAUGUGAGCCCAUAGAUUUUGGUCACAUUGCCAAAAUUUUUUGCAUUCUUUUUCUGGAUUCAUUGCUGCUGCAGAUUUGGGUCUUCAUGUGAUGAGGAUUUUCUAUUGAAGCUAAAUUUAUUAUCGAAGGUUCCAUUUGGCUAUCGGGAGAGUUCUGCUUUUGAUGACGUUAAUAUCAUGGGACCGCUAUGCUAAUGCACACUGUAUUUAACUGAGCUCUGCAACGUCUGCUCUUUCAUAUCGCUGUAUGGAUGGUCAGCUCUACUUCGAAGGCUUCCAACUUGUAUUGCAUUUGGCUUUCUUCUUGCCUGUGUGUUGUCUGUUAGCUUACUUCUUUCUUCUGGUUUCUGGGUUUGGUAUUAGUUCUCGUUGAUUGCCUAUGUUUGUGCUUGUUCUCAUAUCGAUUGUCUGCGAUGGUGCUUUGAUGGAUGUUAUCAGUACGGCGGAGGAAUCGGUGCAAUGGCAUGUGUGUUAUUUGUAUGUUUGUCUUCUGGGUUUGUGUAGUUUGAUUUGUUUUCGGCUGGUUUUAGACCUUUAAAUUAUAAUAGAAUUUAUGAAUAAGGAGAAAUUGAAGUAUAAUUAAUC